CCGGCUAUGGUGUAACGGGUAACACAUGCUUCUCUAAGCGCAAGGCUGGACGUUCGAGUCGUUCUGGUCGGC